CGAGCGGACCUCUUCGGAGGUCAGCGGCGGACGGGUGAGGAACACGUGGGUAAUCUGCCUUUCAGACCGGAAUAACGCCCGGAAACGGGCGCUAAUGCCGGAUACGCCCGCGAGGAGGCAUCUUCUUGCGGGGAAAGGCCCGAUGGGGCCGCUGAGAGAGGAGCCCGCGGCGCAUUAGCUAGUUGGCGGGGUAACGGCCCACCAAGGCGACGAUGCGUAGCCGACCUGAGAGGGUGACCGGCCACACUGGGACUGAGACACGGCCCAGACUCCUACGGGAGGCAGCAGUAGGGAAUCUUCCGCAAUGGGCGCAAGCCUGACGGAGCAACGCCGCGUGAGCGAGGAAGGCCUUCGGGUUGUAAAGCUCUGUUGCUCGGGGAGAGCGGCAUGGGGAGUGGAAAGUCCCAUGCGAGACGGUACCGAGUGAGGAAGCCCCGGCUAACUACGUGCCAGCAGCCGCGGUAAAACGUAGGGGGCGAGCGUUGUCCGGAAUCACUGGGCGUAAAGGGUGCGUAGGCGGUCGAGCAAGUCUGGAGUGACAGUCCAUGGGUCAACCAUGGGAUGGCUCUGGAAACUGCUUGACUUGAGUGAUAGAGAGCGAUGGG
rnacentral:rRNA from 1 species